GAAUACAAAUUCAAUGUACCCAUCCAUGACCCGGUCAUUCGGUGUUGUGUUAUGGUGUCAUGUUACUAACAAUAAACGACUCUCGGCAACGGAUAUCUCGGCUCUCGCAUCGAUGAAGAACGUAGCGAAAUGCGAUACUUGGUGUGAAUUGCAGAAUCCCGUGAACCAUCGAGUUUUUGAACGCAAGUUGCGCCCGAAGCCUUUGGCUAAGGGCACGUCUGCCUGGGCGUCACGCAUCGCGUCUCCCCCACACCAAUCACAUUGGUGGGGAAGGAUGAUGGCUUCCCGUGCCUCACCGGGUGCGGUUGGCUUAAACUUGGAGCCCACGGUAAAUAUUUGCCGCGGCGAUAGGUGGUGAACUUGGCUUAGGCCGUGUAAACAACCCGUUGCGGUGUGUUAGUGUGGGCUCGUUGGACCCAAUGUUUUGCAUUGUGCAAUUCAAACCUUUGCG
rnacentral:rRNA from 1 species